AAACCUGCGAAACUCGAAUGAACGAACGGAGAGAUUCAUCGUCACUCCGCGGCGUACUAGCCCGCGCCUCGAUGCGUCGCGCGCGAGCGCGGCGCACGGGUCGGGCGUGUCGACGUACGCGGACGGCGUGCACUUCUCUCUCAGUAAACGAAUACGUCGCGACCCGUUCGACGGUGUGCCCUACACACUAAAUCGGUCUAAGCGCGGUCCGGGAGCCGAGCGGCGACGUCUCAACAACGCCAGCCGCUCGACCGCGACCGCCGCCGGCCGGCGUCGGACGGUAGUGUGUCAACUCGAAUCGCGCACGCGCCUCGCGCGCGUCAGGCCCGACGCAAGCGUUCGUGUCGUCGCCCGUUUCCUGCCUAUGCGCGGACGCGGGCCCGGCGCCGCUGUCGUCGCAGCCGGUACAGUCUCUGACCGUGCGCGUUUCAGUCGGCGACGUUUCAGUUUCGGGCACUCGCAGGAC
rnacentral:rRNA from 1 species